rnacentral:lncRNA from 1 species
AUAUAUUUCAGUUCUUUGCUACAAUGCAUCAACAAAGAUCAAAGUGCAUGAAAGUCCUUGUGCACAACCCUUCAGCUUUCCAGGUGCAGGUGUUAGGCAGGAAAACGUGAUCAAAUAUGAAAAGUUCAUUAAACACCGCACACUGGAUACUGUUCUUUUUUCUCUUUAUUUUUAGGAGCGAACAACGCGUUUCGCCCAAUGCGUUUUCAGGUUCGAACCUGAAGACACAUUGGGCGAAACGCCUUUGAGAAAAAAGAACAGUAUCCAGUGUGCGGUGUUUAAUGAACUUUUCGCAUUACCAAAGAUGUUCAUUUUGAACGGUAUGCUGACUAUAAGCCAUAAUAAGUUAUUCUAAAACAUUACUUUCCAUUCUUACCUGCAGGCAGCACACCUUAGUGCGCUUGGGGGCUGCAAUCCUGGCGACGCGGUUCGAAGAAUCCUUCGCCACAUCCUCACCAACCACUUCGUGCUGAAAUUCAACUGGCUUGGCAGAGGAGGGAAGAAGCUAGCUUUUGCCUCCUACAAGGUGUGCAAUGUAGUAAGAGGUGCAUCGGCUAGCCAGAACAUUUCGGCCAGCGACUGCGAGGCAGUUAUUAAAAACUGGCUGAAGUGCAGCGGUGACCGGAGUGGAGGAAGAAAGAGGAGAGAAAGCAGAGUGCAUGAAGGUAUGCAUGAACAGCAAACCAUCAAAUACUGGAAAUGAGACUUACUUGCUCUUUCUCUUGAAGCGUUUGAGGGGCAAGAGGGAUGUGCUGAACCUUUUACAGUUUCAUGGAGCUUAACCUAACAUGGAAUUUAAAAGUUAUUCUUCAAGGUGUUUGAGAAAUUGAAAAAAGAACCUUGAAGUUAUUCUUCAAGGUGUUUGAGAAAUUGGCACAAUAUCCUAUACACCCGUUUUUUACAUUUCCCACUUACAAUUGGUAACUUUAAUCGGAGUUCUUGAAGGGGUAGUUCGGAAUUUUGGACAUAGGGCCUGAUUCCGAAGUGAGCAUUGGUAUUCUAUAUCACUGGAGACAGUUUAACACAUUUCAUUCAGUCCUUCUAGUUGCAGAGUUCGCUCGUGCUAGGCUAGCGCAAGUCAACGGGAAAUGCUAGCCUGCUAUUAAAAACAGUCUUACCCACUCCACAGUACACCCGAGGUAAAUCAAUUAUAACAACAGACUAUACAUCUAAAUGUCUGUUUAUAGAAUAAUGUUAGAAAUAAAACCAACCUUGCAUUGCAUUGCAUUUUGAGGGAAUUGCGGGGUCCCAGCAGCAGUGUUUAUAUUCCUGUACGUAGGCUACGGCAGCGGCGGACUGAUACCUAGGUUACCUGCCGCUGUCAUUGCUACAAACGCAGAGUACAGUGAACGAAGGAAUUCUACAAGAGUAUUAAAUUAACAAGAUAUGGCCACGUUUGGAGGAGUUAGCGAUGCAUCUGCUUUUGAAGACGAUUAUGAGGAAUUUGUUGUAUCCAACGAACCGUACAUGUACGAGCCGGUGUUUUGAUGUCAAAGCCAGCAGCA